UACGUAGGGCGCGAGCGUUAUCCGGAAUUAUUGGGCGUAAAGAGCUCGUAGGCGGUUUGUCACGUCUGCUGUGAAAACUGGAGGCUCAACCUCCAGCCUGCAGUGGGUACGGGCAGACUAGAGUGCGGUAGGGGAGAUUGGAAUUCCUGGUGUAGCGGUGGAAUGCGCAGAUAUCAGGAGGAACACCAAUGGCGAAGGCAGCUCGCUGGAACGGUACUGACGCUGAGGCGCGAAAGCGUGGGGAGCGAACAGG
rnacentral:rRNA from 1 species